ensembl:lncRNA
GUCCCCUAUAGGGCUAUGGAUCCCCCCCCAUUUGGGGUCCCCUAUGGGGCUAUGGAUCCCCCCCCAUUUAGGGUCCCCUAUAGGGCAGUGCUCACCUGUGGCCCUACAACUCCAGGGGGGCCGGGGGGUCCCGUUUUGCCUUGGAAACCCUAUAAGGGAAAAAGGGAGAGGGGCAAUGGGGCAGUUAUGGGGCAGCUAUGGGGUGGCUAUGGGGUUCCUAUGGGGUGGCUAUGGGGUAUAUAUGGGGUAUCUAUGGGGUCCCUAUGGGGUGGCUAUGGGGUAUCUAUGGGGCAGCUAUGGGGUCCCUAUGGGGUAUCUAUGGGGCAGCUAUGGGGUAUCUAUGGGGCAGCUAUGGGGUCCCUAUGGGGUCUCUAUGGGGUAUCUAUGGGGUUCCUAUGGGAUAUCAAUGGGGUCUCUAUGGCGCAGCUAUGGGGUCCCUAUGGGGCAGCUAUGGGGCAGCUAUGGGGUUCCUAUGGGGUGGCUAUGGGGUAUAUAUGGGGUAUCUAUGGGGUCCCUAUGGGGUCCCUAUGGGGUCUCUAUGGGGUCCUUAUAGGGUAUCUAUGGGGUCCCUAUGGGGUAUAUAUGGGGUAUCUAUGGGGUCCCUAUGGGGCAGCUAUGGGGUAUCUAUGGGGUAUCUAUGGGGUAUCUAUGGGGUAUAUAUGGGGCAGCUAUGGGGUAUCUAUGGGGUAUCUAUGGGGUCCCUAUGGGGUAUCUAUGGGGUAUCUAUGGGGCAGCUAUGGGGCAGCUAUGGGGUCAAUAUGGGGCAGCUAUUGGGUCCCUAUGUGGCAGCUAUGGGGUCCCUAUGGGGUAUCUAUGGGGCAGCUAUGGGGUCUCUAUGGGGUCCCUAUGGGGUAUCUAUGGGGUAUCUAUGGGGUAUAUAUGGGGCAGCUAUGGGGUAUCUAUGGGGUAUCUAUGGGGUCCCUAUGGGGUAUAUAUGGGGCAGUUAUGGGGCAGAUAUGGGGUGGCUAUGGGGUAUCUAUAGGUUAUCUAUGGGGUCCCUAUGGGGUGGCUAUGGGGCAGCUAUGGGGUGUCUAUGGGGUAUCUAUGGGGCAGCUAUGGGGUAUCUAUGGGGUUCCUAUGGGGUAUCUAUGGGGUNGGGGCAGCUAUGGGGUGUCUAUGGGGUAUCUAUGGGGCAGCUAUGGGGUAUCUAUGGGGUUCCUAUGGGGUAUCUAUGGGGUCCCUAUGGGGUAUAUAUGGGGCAGUUAUGGGGCAGCUAUGGGGUGGCUAUGGGGUGUCUAUGGGGUUUCUAUGGGGUAUCAAUGGGGUCCCUAUGGGGUAUCUAUGGGGCAGCUAUGGGGCAGCUAUGGGGUAGCUAUGGGGUAGCUAUGGGGUCCUUAUAGGGUAUCUAUGGGGUCCCUAUGGGGUAUCUAUGGGGUAUCAAUGGGACAGCUAUGGGGUAUCUAUGGGGUCCCUAUGGGGUCUCUAUGGGGUAUCUAUGGGGCAGGUAUGGGGUCUCUAUGGGGUAUCUAUGGGGUCCCUAUGGGGUAUCUAUGGGGCAGCUAUGGGGUAUCUAUGGGUUAUCUAUGGGGUCCCUAUGGGGCGGCUAUGGGGUAUCUAUGGGGUAUCUGUGGGGUCUCUAUGGGGCAACUAUGGGGUAUCAAUGGGGUCCCUAUGAGGUCCCUAUGGGACAGCUAUGGGGUAUCUAUGGGGUAUCAAUGGGGUCCCUAUGGGGUAUCAAUGGGGUAUCUAUGGGGUCAAUAUGGGGCAGCUAUGGGGUAUCUAUGGGGCACCUAUGGGGCAGCUAUGGGGUAUCUAUGGGGUCAAUAUGGGGCAGCUAUUGGGUCCCUAUGGGGCAGCUAUGGGGCAGCUAUGGGGUAUCUAUGGGGCAGCUAUGGGGUAUCUAUGGGGUGGCUAUGGGGUAUCAAUGGGGUAUCUAUGGGGUCAAUAUGGGGCAGCUAUGGGGUAUCUAUGGGGUCCCUAUGGGGCAGCUAUGGGGUAUCUAUGGGGUCAAUAUGGGACAGCUAUUGGGUCCCUAUGUGGCAGCUAUGGGGUCCCUACGGGGUCUCUAUGGGGUAUCAAUGGGGUCCCUAUGGGGUAUCAAUGGGGUAUCUAUGGGGUCAAUAUGGGGCAGCUAUGGGGUAUCUAUGGGGUCCCUAUGGGGUCUCUAUGGGGUAUCUAUGGGGUCCUUAUAGGGUAUCUAUGGGGCAGCUAUGGGGUAUCUAUGGGGUGGCUAUGGGGUCUCUAUGGGGUAUCUAUGGGGCAGGUAUGGGGAAUCAAUGGGGUCCCUAUGGGGUAUCUAUGGGGCAGCUAUGGGGUAUCUAUGGGGUCAAUAUGGGGUAUCUAUGGGGCAGCUAUGGGGUCCCUAUGGGGUCUCUAUGGGGUA